GGUGAGCCAAACCAUAUGGCUUGGUGUAGCAGCUGGUGUUGUGAAUCAGGCCGUUGCCAAAGAGAGAACGGCUACUUCACAACACCAGGGUUGCCCCCUGCCACAAUCAACUGCCCUAUGA
rnacentral:pre_miRNA from 11 species